rnacentral:rRNA from 1 species
UACGGGGGGAGCAAGCGUUGUUCGGAUUUACUGGGCGUAAAGGGCGCGUAGGCGGUCAGCACAAGUCAGUUGUGAAAUCUCCGGGCUUAACUCGGAAAGGUCAACUGAUACUGUGCGACUAGAGUCCGGAAGAGGAGAGUGGAAUUCCUGGUGUAGCGGUGAAAUGCGCAGAUAUCAGGAAGAACACCCGUGGCGAAGGCGGCUCUCUGGGACGGUACUGACGCUGAGACGCGAAAGCGUGGGGAGCGAACAGG